rnacentral:tRNA from 1 species
GCCCCCAUAGCUCAGCUGGAUAGAGCGGAGGACUUCUAAUCCUUAGGUCGCAGGUUCGAAUCCUGCUGGGGGCGCCA